rnacentral:rRNA from 1 species
ACGUUAAUCGGGGCAGGGUGAGUCGACCCCUAAGGCGAGGCCGAAAGGCGUAGUCGAUGGGAAACAGGUUAAUAUUCCUGUACUUGGUGUUACUGCGAAGGGGGGACGGAGAAGGCUAUGUUGGCCGGGCGACGGUUGUCCCGGUUUAAGCGUGUAGGCUGGUUUUCCAGGCAAAUCCGGAAAAUCAAGGCUGAGGCGUGAUGACGAGGCACUACGGUGCUGAAGCAACAAAUGCCCUGCUUCCAGGAAAAGCCUCUAAGCAUCAGGUAACAUCAAAUCGUACCCCAAACCGACACAGGUGGUCAGGUAGAGAAUACCAAGGCGCUUGAGAGAACUCGGGUGAAGGAACUAGGCAAAAUGGUGCCGUAACUUCGGGAGAAGGCACGCUGAUAUGUAGGUGAAGUCCCUCGCGGAUGGAGCUGAAAUCAGUCGAAGAUACCAGCUGGCUGCAACUGUUUAUUAAAAACACAGCACUGUGCAAACACGAAAGUGGACGUAUACGGUGUGACGCCUGCCCGGUGCCGGAAGGUUAAUUGAUGGGGUCAGCGCAAGCGAAGCUCUUGAUCGAAGCCCCGGUAAACGGCGGCCGUAACUAUAACGGUCCUAAGGUAGCGAAAUUCCUUGUCGGGUAAGUUCCGACCUGCACGAAUGGCGUAAUGAUGGCCAGGCUGUCUCCACCCGAGACUCAGUGAAAUUGAACUCGCUGUGAAGAUGCAGUGUACCCGCGGCAAGACGGAAAGACCCCGUGAACCUUUACUAUAGCUUGACACUGAACAUUGAGCCUUGAUGUGUAGGAUAGGUGGGAGGCUUUGAAGUGUGGACGCCAGUCUGCAUGGAGCCGACCUUGAAAUACCACCCUUUAAUGUUUGAUGUUCUAACGUUGACCCGUGAUCCGGGUUGCGGACAGUGUCUGGUGGGUAGUUUGACUGGGGCGGUCUCCUCCUAAAGAGUAACGGAGGAGCACGAAGGUUGGCUAAUCCUGGUCGGACAUCAGGAGGUUAGUGCAAUGGCAUAAGCCAGCUUGACUGCGAGCGUGACGGCGCGAGCAGGUGCGAAAGCAGGUCAUAGUGAUCCGGUGGUUCUGAAUGGAAGGGCCAUCGCUCAACGGAUAAAAGGUACUCCGGGGAUAACAGGCUGAUACCGCCCAAGAGUUCAUAUCGACGGCGGUGUUUGGCACCUCGAUGUCGGCUCAUCACAUCCUGGGGCUGAAGUAGGUCCCAAGGGUAUGGCUGUUCGCCAUUUAAAGUGGUACGCGAGCUGGGUUUAGAACGUCGUGAGACAGUUCGGUCCCUAUCUGCCGUGGGCGCUGGAGAACUGAGGGGGGCUGCUCCUAGUACGAGAGGACCGGAGUGGACGCAUCACUGGUGUUCGGGUUGUCAUGCCAAUGGCACUGCCCGGUAGCUAAAUGCGGAAGAGAUAAGUGCUGAAAGCAUCUAAGCACGAAACUUGCCCCGAGAUGAGUUCUCCCUGAC